GCCCUGGUAGUGUAGUGGCCGAUCAUGUGGCCCUGUCGAGGCUGCGACGCGGGUUCAAAUCCCGUCCGGGGCG
rnacentral:tRNA from 1 species